CGCUUGAAUACAUUAGCAUGGAAUAAUGAAUAGGCGUUUGAUUCUAUUUUGUUGGUUUCUAGGAUCGACGUAAUGAUUAAUAGGGAGUAAUUGGGGGCAUUAGUAUUCAAUUGUCAGAGGUGAAAUUCUUGGAUUUAUUGAAGACUAACUACUGCGAAAAGCAUUUUGCCAAGGAUGUUUUUCAUUAAUCAAGAACGAAAGUUAGGGGAUCGAAGACGAUCAGAUACCGUCGUAGUCUUAACCAUAAACUAUGCCGACUAGGGAUCGGAUGAUGUUAAUUUUUUAAUGACUCAUUCGGCGCCUUACG
rnacentral:rRNA from 1 species